rnacentral:rRNA from 1 species
ACGUAUGGUGCAAGCGUUAUCCGGAUUUACUGGGUGUAAAGGGUGAGUAGGCGGUUAUGCAAGUCAUAUGUGAAAUUCUGGAGCUCAACUCCAGCGCUGCAUAAGAAACUGUGUAACUAGAGUACAGGAGAGGUAAGCGGAAUUCCUAGUGUAGCGGUGAAAUGCGUAGAUAUUAGGAAGAACACCGGUGGCGAAGGCGGCUUACUGGACUGAAACUGACGCUGAGUCACGAAAGCGUGGGGAGCGAACAGGAUUAGAUACCCUGGUAGUCCACGCCGUAAACGAUGAGUGCUAGGUGUUGGGAAGAGAUUCUCGGUGCCGCAGCAAACGCAAUAAGCACUCCACCUGGGGAGUACGACCGCAAGGUUG